GGUCUAUCGAGAGUACAACAGAGGUUCCGGAGGAUUUGUGGAAGAAAAUUUGGAGAGAUGAAAACGUCGUAAAUGGCCUCGUCAACGAUCCAACCCAGAGAGUUUCAGGUUUUGAACUCCCUCGUGAAAAGUGGACCGUUCUAAACCGAAUUAGAACAGAACAGGAAAAAUGUAAUUUCCUUUUACAUAAAUAGAAAAUGGUAGAUACACCACUCUGUGAGUGUAGGCCGGUCCGAACCAUCAAACACGUUGCAGAGGUAUGCCCUCUAACAAAGUAUGAAGGAGGGAUAGUAGGGCUUCACAAAGGAGACAGCUAGGCACAAGAUUGGCUUAGUACC